rnacentral:rRNA from 1 species
CCUACGGGAGGCAGCAGUAGGGAAUCUUGCGCAAUGGGCGAAAGCCUGACGCAGCAACGCCGCGUGCGGGACGAAGGCCCUCGGGUUGUAAACCGCUUUCAGUAGGAACGAAACUGACGGUACCUGCAGAAGAAGGUGCGGCCAACUACGUGCCAGCAGCCGCGGUGACACGUAGGCACCAAGCGUUGUCCGGAUUUAUUGGGCGUAAAGAGCUCGUAGGCGGUUCAGUAAGUCGGGUGUGAAAACUCUGGGCUUAACCCAGAGACGCCACCCGAUACUGCUGUGACUAGAGUGCGGUAGGGGAGUGGGGAAUUCCUGGUGUAGCGGUGAAAUGCGCAGAUAUCAGGAGGAACACCGGUGGCGAAGGCGCCACUCUGGGCCGUAACUGACGCUGAGGAGCGAAAGCGUGGGUAGCAAACAGGAUUAGAUACCCUGGUAGUCCACGCCGUAAACGUUGGGCACUAGGUGUGGGCUCUAACCAACGGAGUCCGCGCCGUCGCUAACGCAUUAAGUGCCCCGCCUGGGGAGUACGGCCGCAAGGCUAAAACUCAAAGGAAUUGACGG